UCCCUGGUGGUCUAGUAGUAAGGAUACAGCACUUUUGCUGCAGAGGCCUGGGUUCAAUCCCAAGUCUGGGUC
rnacentral:tRNA from 1 species